rnacentral:rRNA from 1 species
AGCAUAUCAAUAAGCGGAGGAAAAGAAACUAACAAGGAUUCCCCUAGUAACGGCGAGUGAAGCGGGAUGAGCUCAAAUUUAAAAUCUGGCUGGUUUACUAGUCCGAAUUGUAGUUUAAAGAAGCGUUUUCGGUGGCAGCCUGGGUAUAAAUCCUUUGGAACAGGGUAUCAUAGAGGGUGAGAAUCCCGUCUUUGACUCAGUGCAUGCUACUAUGUGAUACGUUUUCAAAGAGUCGAGUUGUUUGGGAAUGCAGCUCAAAAUGGGUGGUAAAUUUCAUCUAAGGCUAAAUAUUGGCGAGAGACCGAUAGCGAACAAGUACCGUGAGGGAAAGAUGAAAAGAACUUUGAAAAGAGAGUUAAACAGUGCGUGAAAUUGUUGAAAGGGAAACGCUUGACACCAGUCAUGCGAGCGGAAAAUCAGUCUUUUGCAGUGGGGAGUUGUGUGGGUUCGGACCGCAAGGCCGGCCUGCGNUGCAUCUCUGCUGUAAGUGAUGCACUUUUUCGUUUGCAGGCCAACAUCAGUUUCUUCUGCUGGACAAAACUCUUGAGAAGGUAGCAGCUUUGGCUGUGUUAUAGCUCUUGAGCGAUACAGUGGAGGGGACUGAGGUUUUCGCAGCGCGUGCUCUCGGGCAAGGCUGAUUGGGUGCUAUGGGAUCGUUCGGUGUACAAUGCUUGCAUUUUGCGCCGUGUCUUUUCUGUACUCGCUCAACUCGGCUCUUCCGCGCUUAGGAUGU